rnacentral:rRNA from 1 species
AACGAACGCUGGCGGCAGGCUUAACACAUGCAAGUCGAACGCCCCGCAAGGGGAGUGGCAGACGGGUGAGUAACGCGUGGGAAUCUACCCAUCUCUGCGGAAUAGCUCCGGGAAACUGGAAUUAAUACCGCAUACGCCCUACGGGGGAAAGAUUUAUCGGGGAUGGAUGAGCCCGCGUUGGAUUAGCUAGUUGGUGGGGUAAAGGCCUACCAAGGCGACGAUCCAUAGCUGGUCUGAGAGGAUGAUCAGCCACAUUGGGACUGAGACACGGCCCAAACUCCUACGGGAGGCAGCAGUGGGGAAUAUUGGACAAUGGGCGCAAGCCUGAUCCAGCCAUGCCGCGUGAGUGAUGAAGGCCUUAGGGUUGUAAAGCUCUUUCACCGGUGAAGAUAAUGACGGUAACCGGAGAAGAAGCCCCGGCUAACUUCGUGCCAGCCGCCGUAACAC